rnacentral:rRNA from 1 species
AACGAACGCUGGCGGCAUGCCUAACACAUGCAAGUCGAACGAGACCUUCGGGUCUAGUGGCGCACGGGUGCGUAACGCGUGGGAACCUGCCCUUAGGUUCGGAAUAACUCCCCGAAAGGGGUGCUAAUACCGGAUAAUGUCUUCGGACCAAAGAUUUAUCGCCUUUGGAUGGGCCCGCGUUGGAUUAGCUAGUUGGUAGGGUCAAAGCCUACCAAGGCGACGAUCCAUAGCUGGUCUGAGAGGAUGAUCAGCCACACUGGGACUGAGACACGGCCCAGACUCCUACGGGAGGCAGCAGUGGGGAAUAUUGGACAAUGGGCGAAAGCCUGAUCCAGCAAUGCCGCGUGAGUGAUGAAGGCCUUAGGGUUGUAAAGCUCUUUUACCCAGGAUGAUAAUGACAGUACCGGGAGAAUAAGCUCCGGCUAACUCCGUG